CAAAGCGCCUACAAUGGGUGCUGGAAUUGAAGCAAAGACAGCUCCAAAUUUCCCUGAUGAUAAUCAAUGCGCAGUUAAAAAAGCAACAUGCAAAAGAGGAGUGGGGGAUCAUAUAUCAACCAAAAAAAAAAAAAAAAAAAAUCUAAUCAACAAAAUGCUUAGGCAGGAGGUUUACCAAGAAUUGAAAAGAAAAUCAUAAAACCAGCAGAUAUCUGAACAACUCUUCUGCUGCCAACACGUGUUAGUGCUAAAAGACCAGCAUUUUCACUGCAUAUAUAUGAAGGAAAAGUCAAUUCAUCUGUGAUGACUGGUUUCUUCAUCUUAUUGUGCUGACGAAGAUUUUGCCUGGACUUACACAGAUACAGAAGAUCCAUUCCCUGUGCCAAACAACCCCGACAGUAAAAUGCCAAUUCCCUGAGACAGGCAAAAGGUUUUGAAAUUAACUACAGCAAGAAGGGUCUGUCCUAUGAUGAAAUAUAGGGAACAGGUGAUCCAGAUCCAGUUGAUCCCCACCCCUCCAUCCCUCUAGCGCCUUGAUUUUAUUUUCAACACAAUAACUCACAGGCUUGCAUAAGUUUCAAAGCAUUCCCAAACUCAUUAUGCAAGAUAAAAGAAUCCUCCACACGUAAAAGGAAGACAGUGAAUGAAUGUGAACAGGAACAUAGAUUACUAGAAAACACGAGGAGGAAGCAAGGACUGGCAAAUAUCAAGUUUCAAGACAAGGGUCGUCACUAGCCAGAUGGUUAUGCAGGGAUUUGGGGUUAUCUUAAUCGCUUGAGCUACAUGCCGUACGAUAGCUGCUCUGUAAUGGCAUACCAAAGUGGAUCCAGUGAGAAAAUCAGUAACCAACUUGACUCAGAUUCUCAGAAUAUUUAGCUUCAUAUAGCUGAACCAGACUUUGACAAUGUGGGUUUAGAUUGAUUGGAAACACUAUACUCUUGCAAUGUAUGGAGUGUCAUGGGACAGAAUUUGGGUACCAGCUGAAGAAAGAGUCAAAUUCUCAUGGUGAUUUUUUCUGAAGGAAAAGGUUAAUCUGGGAAGAGUGGGAUAAUGUUUUAACUGCAUAUUCCCAAUUUAGUCAAGAUCCUCCAUAUAAACCUUCCAAACUGUAUUAUGCAUUUGAAUGUAAGUUCUAGUUCAAUGAAAUCAUCAAAUUAUUUACGUUUUCAUUUUUACCUCAUUUUCUUAGAAUACAGUGGGAUUGGGAAGGGCAGGUUUUAGGGGGAUAGCACCGGUUUACCUGCCAGCCUACGCCACGGCUGAGUAUCGAUGGUGGCAUGGGAGUGGCACUUGCAUAUCUUGCAACUGCAAUAAAAGCACCAGUGGACUGAAAAUACCAGAAAGCACAAGCAAGAAAGAAAUUAGCUUCAGGCCUAUAACUUACCAAGCAUAAAAAUAUCCUUGCUCACUGACAAGGCAAAUUUUGGAAUGAAAUUAAAGAACUGAUAAAGAAGUUUAAGGAAAAGGCAGAGCAGCGCAGGGAGAAUAAUAAAGCAAGAGACAGGAGUAAGCAGAGAAGCAACUCAUAUGCAUCUAAUCCAAACCUCAGCAUCAAUAUAUCCAUUGUACCCUAAUCGAAGCAAAGAGCACAUUAUAACAAAGCCAAAGCAAUAACAAAAGCAGCAACGUAGACCUAAAAUAUUUGCAAAUAUGCCAGUAUAAGACAGACGAGAGAGGGUAGCUCGGGUAGAAAGCAUCCUUCACAUUCACCUUGAAGUUGGGGAAUUUGUGUCAACAAAAGAGCAAAGUGCAAUAGUACCACUAUUGACUCUUGGGGAGAGGGCAGGGCUGGGGUAAAAGAUAUAAGUUACCAUAUCCAUAAGAUAGUUAUUGACAAUAUUCAACGUGUAUCAAAGCCCUGAAGCGGUGACAAACCUCCACAAGAGCAACAAAUGUAGCCAUCAUCAUAGCAAAUGCUUCACCAGCAUCAAAUGAAGGUGCUCCCCACUGAAAAGGGUAUGGAACUCUAAUCCUGCAGAUAAACAGAAGCAAAAGAUGAAGAGAAAAUUAUUUUUCUUGAAAGACAUUACGUUUGGAGACAGUUGCUAGAAUAAUGGUGUUUGGGCUAGAUGUAUACAACAAUUCAAUAAACAUGUAUUAGAUCAAUGAGUUAGUGCUAUAGCAACUUUAAAAAGAAAGUGAAAGAAAACAAGUAGUAAAAGAUAUAGCAGUUUUACAGCAAACAAAAAAUAAUUUUACAAUGAGAAAAUGAAAUAGCAUAAGAUAUAUGGAAUUAUUUAAAACAUACAGCAAGAGAAAAGGAAGAGAAAAUAGUACUCCUUCUAGCGCAACUCAAAUAUAUUUGAUAAAAGUUCAUGUCUUUACAAGCCUCACAACAACUCACAUUCAUUAUCAACUUUUAAAGUUUGAUGUGAUAAAAAUAUUUCAACAAUUGCUUUAAUUUUUUGUUCCAAUAUUACUAAUUAAAUAUGUAAGUCAACUUAACAUCUAAAACUUCUAGCCCAAUAAAAUAUCGUUAAAUGAAACAAGGCAGUAUAUCUUGUUUUACAUAACAUCGUGGAGAAAGGAGGCCAAAGUGAAUGAAUCUGGAAAAGAAGAGGGUUCAGCAGGAAGAAUAAGCUAAUCCAUUUUUUGUUGGGUUUUCUGGAAAACUGAAAACAAUUUUCACUAUUUUUAGUUCUUAUGAGUAAGUUUCAGGUUUUGGUUUUUGCAAAAACCAAAACUGUUAUCUAUUCAAAACAUUUUUUCUUUAUAAUUUGGUUUCUAGGGAAGUGAAGAGGAGUCUUGGAGCAACGCCAAAGUUGUCUUUGUGUGACUUAUAGGUCACGGGUUCGAACCGUGAAAUCAGCUACUAGUAUUUGCCUCAGAGUUGCUGCCUACAUUACACCCCCGGGAUGCGGCCCUUCCCCGAACAUGAGUAAACGCGGGAUGCUUCAUGCACCGGGCUGCCCUUUUUUUUUGGCUUCUGGGGAAGUAUGUCGGAAAUGUUUCCAACCCAACAGUCACCCAGUUACCUUGGAAUAAAAGCGUCAUUUCGAAGCACUGAUGGAAAAAACAAGUAGAGCAAAAUGCACAUUGACGCUUAAACAAAUACUACUAAACAAAGUGGAAAGCUUUGCCUCUAACAAUAGCGCAUCAUGCGUCGGGACAAUGAGCCUAUCAAUGGAAAGAUAAAGUGAAGAAGAGAAGUGUAUUUGUUAUGUGCUCAAGAAUAACUAUCAAUCAACUAUGCCUCAAUUCAAAUUAGUUGGGGUCGGCUUAUAGGAUUUUUUAACCUGAAAUCAACCUAACGCAGCCCACUAUAUCCAAGCUUGGGACUGAUUGUACUUUUCCGAGAUCGACAAUAUGGACUUUGCUCCAAGGAUUAUAGAAAAGAAUAUACAUAUAUAUCAGUACCCUUAACAAUUUCCGAAAUGUGCAGCAACAAUAGAAAGCAACCCAUGCAGUCUUAAACAAGGAAAUCAGAUUGGUGAAUUUCAGAUAUCCCGCAGUGUUUUUUACCUAGUACAUUUUUUUGUCCCAUUACAUAUAUGCUAAUUAUGCAGUGUGCAAGAACUAAUGGCAACUGGCGAGCAUAAGCAUUUCUUUGUUGUCCCUAAAGGUGAUGGAAAAAAAGCAGUCGAAUUAAAAUCCCCAGGAAAGUCAUAAAAGAAGAUAACUUACCAGGGAGCACCACUAAUAAGUCCAGCCCGAUCAGUUCUGCAGCUUAUCUGUGUCUUUUGUGGCUUCCCGUUAUAAGCCCCACCCACAGUAAGUAUGUAUGCAUAAAUCCAUACAAUUGCUACCGUGAAAAGAACAGCAAAGCGAUCAAAGAUAUUCUUUCCUGGUUUUAUCAGAUGGGCCAAAUACUGCAUUGACCAACCAAAUUUGUUUAAUUUUUCAUAUCCAAUGAUGCAUUCCAGCAUAAAACAAUGCGUAAUAGAAAAAUUUGAGUUCCAAAAUAGCAUCCUACCUGAGAGAAAAUGACCAAAAGGACUAGCUGUGGCAACCCAACUUCAACACAUUUGGCAACCUAAAAAGCAAAGAUGUAUUACACUUUAACAGACUCAGAAGCAACAAGUCCCAUGGACAUCCAAAGAGAAAAUAGUGUAAUAUGCUAUAAAAUUGAUACUUCAGGAUCAGGCGAGGUUGUAUACAUACCCCAGGAAAACCAAACUCAUAAAGCCCAAAGCCAACAAGAGAUAUCAAAGGAACAGCUGAAAGUGGGGUCAGAAACCUAUAAAUCCACAAAACAUAAAAUGUUAAUAUAGCUAGUUUCCACAGUAUCUAUAUAAAUCCUUUGCCAUGAACAUGCAGCCCUCAAACCAGAAAGGUGAUCUUAGGAGCUUUUACUUUUACUUGAUCUACUAGUAUAGAGAAAAGCUACUCAGAGUGCAGAAAAUUAUGUCACCUCAUAAAAAUGAUGGAUGAAGGAGAAGGUACUACAGGAGAAUAAUGAUGCAGGUGCACAGAGAAGCACAAUUUAAAGCAUCAACUAUGCUAUAGGUAAUGAAUAAUUUAGCAUGCUCACACAUUUGCUGACACUGACUAACCUUACAACGUUGCGCCAGAGUCCACUGAAGCCCAGGACAAUUUGAAGCGUUGAAGCAACAAUAAGUGCACCUUGGGUAGCUCGCAUUAUCUUCUUGAAUCUCUGAUGAAUCAUAGGAAAUGUUUACAAUCAAUAAGGAGCAAAUAGCACCAAGAUGCAAUGGAUGAGUCUCAUAAUAUCUAUCACUGUGUAGUUUAUAAUCAAUAAGGACCAAAUAGCACCAAGAUGCAAUGGAUGAGUCUCAUAAUAUCUCACUGUGUCUCCACAUGUCUCCCCACCCAUUAGAGAAUUUACAGGAAUAUACACCAAUAUGGAUCAUAAAAUGAAACAAUAAGCAGUUUGUUUAAAAUUGCUAAGGGCAGGCAACAUAAAUAAUUAUAAAAUAGCUCUUAGUUUCUCCUUUUUCAGUUAACUGUUGAGAUUCAGUAUGUAUUCACAGAGAAGACAAAUACAGUGCUUGAAGAGACCAACCGACACAGGGUCUGGGUCCUCCCAACGACCAGAAAGGAUGAUUGAAAUUGUAGGAGCAACAAAGGUGUAGGACCCUCCAAUCACAGCAGGUAGCCUAGUCCCAAAGAAACUCUGCAAUAAGGUGUUCAGCCCCGCGACAAAUAGCAAUGUCUGGAUAACUUUUGCUUUUUGCCAAAGAAACUCUGCAACAAGGUGUUCAGCCCAGCAACAAAUAGCAAUGUCUGGAUAACUUUUGCUUUUUCCUCCUGCAAAAGGACAUGCAUUAUUUCAUAUAAAACCCGUAACACUGCUUGACUUCAAAAUUAGUCAUGGGUUAAGUAGUUAAAUAGGCUAUUCUGUUGAGUAAUCUCACAUUUCCACCUCCCAUUUGGGGAACCAGAGCUGUAGGAAUGAUAACCGUUGUACCAAGCAUAACAAGAUAAUGUUGAAACCCAAGAAGGAUAGCCUCAGCUGCAUUCCAACAAUUAGGCCAAAAUCAGCAGAGUACAAAAUCUACAUUAUGGUGAAACUGAUUCUUAAAAACAAAGUGAUGAAAUUCAAAAACGUUACUUAAUACAGAGAAGUGCUCCACAACGUCUUUAACUCUUUGCUCAAGUGCAAUAACAGGAAAAGAAGUACUAAUUACUUUAUGGAGUAAACUUUAAAUCAGCCACCAAAAUAUUAGGCCAUACAAUCAGCCUACUAGCCAAAAACACUCUUGAACAAGUUGUGUGAGAUUUUCAUGUGAGACUAGCUAUGGGGACGAUAAAAGCAUAAAUAUGUAAAUCUAAAAUUGAAAAAAACUUGAGAGAUACAGAAGGCAAAAGAGAUUCCAUUAACUCGAUUUUAUACUUAAACACUGCUGAAAGAAAAUAAUCCUACUCUUUACAAGCUAGAAAAGGAAAAAGGAGGGCACAUAUGGGAAGCUUUUCUCAUAUCUGACCAGUUUCGAGAUGUUAUUUCUCCAACAGAACACAUAGAACACCACAAACCCAGCACAGAACAUGACCUACACAAUUGUCCCUGAUUUGAAAAGUAUAUCAGAAGACGAAAAAAAAAAUCAUAUAUUCACUAGAGCAAAAGGCAUUAGAAUGAAGCAAUUCAGACCAGUGAGCUAAACUUGGUUCAGGAAAAUCAGGACCUACAUACACCUACCUUGAAGGAAUAUAAAUAUAAAUCAAUCAAUUAGAAAGACUGAAAUACAAGGGUAUAUAAAUUAGGCUAUACAAAUUAUCUAUAUCCAGUUUAUUGUUCUUGAAUUAUUUUUAUGUUGACUGACAAUUUACCACCAUUCUCCUCCAUCACCUGGACUUGACACAUACACAGAGUUAAGGAACAUACAAGGUAAAAAUAGUACUUAAGAAAGUAGAAACAUAUUAGGUUCCUCAAAGAAUCUAACACUACUUCCAUCAAACCUAAACAGUAAAACAUCAAAACAAAAGAAUACAGUGAGGUAGAAAGAGAGGUAUAGACUUACGCCAUGGGGGAGGACUCGUGAUACAGUAGGACACAUUAGGAAGCUGAUCUUUAGUUGGAUGUGGCGCUGGGUCAUCUGAUGAUUUCGCUGGAGCUGCUCCUCCACCUGCCAUUCUUUCCUCUUUCUCUCUCUACAAACUUA
rnacentral:lncRNA from 1 species